AGUGGAUGGAUUGCAUCAGCGGUACCCGCCUGUGGUUUUUUGAGUGUUGGAUACAUUGCAUUCUCGGAAUCUUGCUUCAUGCCUACGGAUGUGGAUGUGGAUGCGGAUGCAUAUGCAUGUUUCUUUUAAGACAUGCUAAUAAAUGUAGUGUAAAUAUUGAGAGGGUCUGAAAGAGAGAUAAGAAGUACGUAAUGAAUAAACAUUUUGGAGCCAGUGCAGUCCCCAAGUCCAAUAACAGAGAUGAUUCACCGUCUCGAGGCUGAACCAGAGGGGCAUCUUCUUGCUAUUUGGAAGUAUAUGGACAAGGCCUUGGCAUCAGGUGGAGUUUGAUUCCCCCACCCCCCUCAUAUUAUAUGGAGGUAUCAAGCCACUGGUGACGGGGAAAUGGGACCCAACCGCAAAAGUUGGGGUUUGGUCUGGCCCCACGUGUUGCGCUGAAUGGGACAAAGGCCCAAUGGCCCAUGCAGCGCCUCGUAGUGUGGCGGGUCCUGAACUCCGUCCAGGAAGGGGUCUAGUGCGGUCAUACCGCAUGUUGCGGCACACCCGACCGCACCGCAAGCCGCAAGGUGGGAUGGGGAUGGGU